rnacentral:rRNA from 1 species
AGAGGGUGAAAGCGUUAAUCGGAUUUACUGGGCGUAAAGNNNNNGUAGGUGGCCAAUUAAGUCAAAUGUGAAAUCCCCGAGCUUAACUUGGGAAUUGCAUUCGAUACUGGUUGGCUAGAGUAUGGGAGAGGAUGGUAGAAUUCCAGGUGUAGCGGUGAAAUGCGUAGAGAUCUGGAGGAAUACCGAUGGCGAAGGCAGCCAUCUGGCCUAAUACUGACACUGAGGUGCGAAAGCAUGGGGAGCAAACAGGAUUAGAUACCCUGGUAGUCCAUGCCGUAAACGAUGUCUACUAGCCGUUGGGGCCUUUGAGGCUUUAGUGGCGCAKAACGCGAUAAGUAGACCGCCUGGG